GGUUUUAACAAUACAUACUUCAGACUGAGGAGUCUUACAUACAUUUCCACUUGAUCUUUUGCUGUAGGGGACAAUUCUUCCUCUGGAGAAGGAGAACCUUCUAACUUUUUGUGAAUCUUCUCUUCUGUUAUAAGACAAAAAUUCAGAAAAAGUUAACAUAUAUGCAGUUAAUAAACACUAAACUCAUUUCUCAAGUAAUUUUAAUCAGAUAUGAUACAGGCUUUUGUGGCUUACAGAGAGAACUCCAGGCCAGUUAAUAAACACUGACGUACUGAGUGUGCAGAAGGCGCUCUUUGGCUAACCUACAUAUGCACUAGGCUGCAGGCUGAAUGAGAGUGCUUUAACUCAUCACAAAGCCACACUGUAGAGGUUCUUAACUGAGAGCCUGGCGUUCCCUGUGUACUUAUUAAUUAGACCAGAAGGAGUGAACAUCUGUUUAGAUUCCAAAAAUACAUUCUCACAAAAUUCUGACUCACGGCCUUUGUACUGACUCAUUUUGAUUAAUACUAAUCUGUAAAGAAAACUCCUCAUUACAGUUAGACCUGUGACAUGACAUGGCGCUAAGCACACCCUGUGCUUCAGUACCAACAGAAACAAAGGGUAGCUACUGAACUUGGUCCAGGCUAUUGCCUUAAAUUAAAAAUAAGGUGGACCCUUAACACAAGGCUUCAAGAGUAUACGCUGACAAUGACCUUGACAAGGACAGAAAAGGGUUUCAGAGUAUGCAGCCCCUUCCUGGAGUCCUGCAGAACACUUAGGAACUUAAAUGACUGAACCCCCAAGUGAAGCCUUAGAAGGUGCCCACGGACUACAGCCCUCCUCUGGAGCAGGGAUUUCCCAUGUGGCCACUAAGGACUUCACUGAAGCCUUGUGCAGAGCUGAGGUAAUGAGGAAUGCUGGCUUGGUGACACACUCUACACUGAGAAGGACCCUGUAGGGCUCUACCUGCCCCAGCCUGCUCACCUUGCUCGCUCUGUAGGUCUUUCAGUCUGCAGCAGAGCUCUUCUACUAAAGUCUCGAUCCCAGAGCUCUGUGUGAGAGAGAAGACAGUCAGCUUUCUACCAGGCACAGUAGACAGGCAAUUAUUUUAUGUCACUACGGAGGACCACAAGUUUCCAUGUUCCAAAAGGAAUAUAUUAUCAAUUCUUAGAGUUUAAAAACCGGUAAAGCUAACCUACUGUAAGUAUUUUUUCUUUUCUUUUCUUUUUUCUUUUUUGGUUUUUCAAUACAUGAUUUCUCUGUGUAGCCCUGGCUGUCCUGGAACUCAGAAAUCCACCUGCUUCUGCCUUUCAAGUGCUGGGAUUAAAGGCAUGUACCACCACUGCCCAGCUUACCAUAAGCAUCUUACUAAUGAAGGACACUAAGUGGGACUUACUGAUACAUUGUGGCAAUGUGAAUGCUCUCCAAGAAAGGCUUCUGUCUUGCUCAACAAGGCCAAAGAUCUAUGUGUCCAUCAUUGGACAAAAGUUAGUCACCCACAAAAGCAACCUUAAGAUUCUUUAUAAUCAUGGUUUUAUACAAAUUUAACACAGGGGUUACAAAACCUCCUUAGUCUCUAGAAGAUUAGAGCCUAAAGAAAACAAAGUAGGUCCCCCUUCCCUUUCCCUUCCUUGUCUUCUUCUUUUCUUUUCUUUUUUUAAAGUGAACUCUCACAACUCCAGCAGAAAGAGCCAUACAGAACACAGGCCAAUGCUGAAAGCACACAUGGGAGCUCUCGGUUAUUUUAAGAGAUGGACCCAACCACACAGGGCCCACCAGUGAGGCGGUUCGGCUGGUGGUACAGAUACUUGCCACCAAGCAGACAACCAGAAUUCAGUGCCCAGUACCAACAAGUGUGCAAGGACAGAACAUGUUUCUUAAGUUCCACAGGCAUACGGAGAGGGCGUGAAAGGAUCUGGUACUGAAGAUAAAGUGAGGCAAGCUUCAAAGAAAAUUUGCACUUGAAACAGCACAAGUACAUAUCUUUCACUCAUUCUAAAUUCUCAUUUUUUUCUGCAAGAAAACAGAAAAAAUAUUGUACAAUGGACAGAAGAGUUACAGUGUUUCUUAGAAACUUUGGAUUUACUCAGGGACAUGCUAUGUCUGGGUUGGAUUUUGUCUCUUUGAAAGGACACAGCUGGCCAGAUGCACACAGAAGAGCCACCCAAGUUCCUGUGCCUCCGCUCUGUGACUCCAAGAGCUAAAAAUAAACUUUACCCAUUCGCCGAACUCAAAAUGACUCAGCAAAGUAUGGCAGAUAUUCUUUUUUUCUUUUUCUUUUUUAAAAAAAGCCCCCUUUACAGAGUUUUGGCUAGAAGAAACAGAUUUCAGAUAGGAAGGUAAAUUGUAAAUACCCACAGUUACUCUCUAUCUGCAGAAUAUCCCAGUCUUUAAGAGGGAAAAGAGAAAAUAGGUCAGAGGACAGCUGCCUCUUUCUUACAGCUCUAAAAAACAGGCAGACAAUUGUUCAACAGUGGUAGACUGCACAAUCCCAUCACUGAAGUCUGCUUACCAUAACGGUCAAGGUGUAAUGAGGCCCGCAAUUAUAAUCCACUUCUCCAGGAU
rnacentral:lncRNA from 1 species